CGAGCCUGGGGGACACCGAGCGGGGACAGGGGCAAUGACAGUGCCACCAGCCCUGGGGGAUACCGCGAGGGGACAGGGGCAGUGACAGUGCCACCAGCCCUGGGGGACACCGCGCGGGGACAGGGCCAGCAACCCUGGGGGACACCGCGGCACCGCGCUGGGACAAUGCCAGUGCCACCAGCCCCGGGGGGCACCGCGCUGGGACAGUGCCAGUGCCACCAGCCCCGGGGCACCCGCGCUAAGGGCAGUGCCACCAACCCCGGGGGACACAGCGACAUCCGCGCUGUGACGCCGCCAGUGCCACCAGCUGUGUCCCCACGGCGCGGCUCGGGAGCCACCGGAGCGACCCCUCCGCGCUGGCAUCGCGCAGAGCAGCGCCCUGGCAGCGGGCAGGUCACUGGGGCAGGUGGCACAGGAGAGUGGCCGGGGGGUUCGGGGGUCUCCAGCCCCUGGGCAGCGCUGCCACCCUCCAUGGGAAGUUCUGACAAGUUUAAAAAACUUGUUUUUUUUUUUUUUUUAAUUUCUGGCCGUUGCUCCUCGUCCUGUCACGCUGAGCGGAGCCUGGCCCCAUCCUCUGACCCCUCUGGAGAGGUUUGCACGCCUUGGUGACAUCCUGCCAGCCUCUGUGAGCUAAACACGCCCAGAUCGUUUCUGGAUGAAGAGGAAUGAGGCAGCCCCAGACAGGUUUUACACGUAAAGCUGCCUCAUCCUUGUGAAAAGUUACUUUUGUUCCGUGUCGAGCAGCGAUGACUGUUCAAGAUCUCCGUGCAGAAAUGAAUGCUUGUCCUUCACUGCUGAUGAGAUUCCUCCAAGGAGUGACAUUUGGGGAUGACGCUGCUGGCUCGGGCUGCCAUGGAGAAUCGGGGAGCUGCUGCUGCUCUAUUUAUCCCCUGCAGAAGUUCUGGCACUGGACUCCUCGCUCCUGCCCACACGGUCCCCGCAGAGCUCGUAGAUGUCGUUGGUGACAAAGCCGCUCUCCGCGCUGGCCAGCGUCACCAAGCCACUGCUGGAGGUGUCCUCGGCGUCCCUGCAGGGGCUCUGCAGCCCCUCGUGGGCACGGAAGGAGGAAUUCUUGGUGCCAGGCCUGGCCCCAGCCAGGAAGACGACAUGAGGAUUAAGAGGAAGAAGUUGACAGUGACCAGACAGAAUCCUGUGUUUGAAUGGAAUUUAUGCAUCAUGUAUGAGGUGUAUGAAUAUGCAACAGGCGAUUGUUUUUAAGGGUCAAUCCUCUGUUAAUGGCUGUCCUUUUUCGGGCUCGUGAUGCCCAGAAAAAGGUACCCGGACUUCCACAGCUCUUUG